GGCAGAGGGUGCAAACGUUGUUCGGAAUUACUGGGCGUAAAGAGCGCGCAGGCGGUCGAUCAAGUCGAGUGUGAAAGCCCCCGGCUCAACUGGGGAGGGUCAUUCGAUACUGAUCGACUCGAAGGCAGGAGAGGGUAGUGGAAUUCCCGGUGUAGUGGUGAAAUGCGUAGAGAUCCGGAAGAACACCAGUGGCGAAGGCGGCCCGCUGGGCAGUGGCUGACGCUGAGGAGCGAAAGUGUGGGGAGCGAACAGG
rnacentral:rRNA from 1 species